GAUGCAGAAAUGAAGACCCAGGAACUAGACCCACAUGAAAGGUUGCACAAGCAUCCCACAGCUAUCUGCUGAGGCCAAGAAGCUGACUGGCAAAGGAAGGCAGCCACCCUGGAAGACUGACUGAGGGCGCAUAGCUCUUCUCUCUCCACUGCAAGGCCAGGACUCAGUCAUACAGCCUCAGUUAACGGGAAGGGUGGCUGAGCAAUGCAGGGACCCCCAACAAAGUCUUGCGCUGAAGAGUUUGAGAUCAGGACGGAUCACCACAGCUAAUUGGCAGAAAUCAUGUCUUCUGGGAGAUCACAACUAAAUGUCUAGGGUACACAUUCAACAGCUGUGAAUUGAACACCUACUGUGUGCUGAAUACUGGUUGUACAGAAAUGGGACUGACAACCCCUGUCCUUUGAUAAGCACGUUAGUGUACCUUCGGGACUGGCAGUGAGGGGAAUUAGGACUGGAUAGGGAGGAAAGUGCCAGAUUACAAAG